rnacentral:rRNA from 1 species
GAACCGCAUGGUUCGAAAUUGAAAGGCGGCUUCGGCUGUCACUUAUGGAUGGACCCGCGUCGCAUUAGCUAGUUGGUGAGGUAACGGCUCACCAAGGCAACGAUGCGUAGCCGACCUGAGAGGGUGAUCGGCCACACUGGGACUGAGACACGGCCCAGACUCCUACGGGAGGCAGCAGUAGGGAAUCUUCCGCAAUGGACGAAAGUCUGACGCAGCAACGCCGCGUGAGUGAUGAAGGCUUUCGGGUCGUAAAACUCUGUUGUUAGGGAAGAACAAGUGCUAGUUGAAUAAGCUGGCACCUUGACGGUACCUAUCCAGAAAGCCACGGCUAACUACGUGCCAGCAGCCGCGGUAAUACGUAGGUGGAAAGCGUUAUCCGGAAUUAUUGGGCGUAAAGCGCGCGCAGGUGGUUUCUUAAGUCUGAUGUGAAAGCCCACGGCUCAACCGUGGAGGGUCAUUGGAAACUGUGAGACUUGAGGGCAGAAGAGGAAAGUGGAAUUCCAUGUGUAGCGGUGAAAUGCGUAGAGAUAUGGAGGACACCAGUGGCGAAGGCGACUUUCUGGUCUGUAACUGACACUGGGGCGCGAAAGCGUGGGGAGCAAACAGGAUAAGAUACCCUGGUAGUCCACGCCGUAAACGAUGAGUGCUAAGUGUUAGAGGAUUUCCGCCCUUUAGUGCUGAAGUUAACGCAUUAAGCACUCCGCCUGGGGAGUACAGCCGCAAGGCUGAAACUCA